UAAUAAGCUAUUAAGGGCUAAUGGUGGAUGCCUAGACUGUAAGAGGCGAUGAAAGACGUAUUAGGCUGCGAUAAGCCUCGGGGAGCUGCCAAAGAGCUUUGAUCCGGGGAUUUCUGAAUGGGGCAACCCAAUAUAAUGAGAAUUAUAUUACCCUACGGGGAGCGAACCUAGUGAAGUGAAACAUCUCAGUAGCUAGAGGAAGAGAAAUCAAACGAGAUUCCCAAAGUAGCGGCGAGCGAAAUGGGAUUAGGACAAACCCAAUGCUUGCAUUGGGGGUUGUAGGACCAUGAUAUGAGACUAAAGAGGAUAGAUGAAAUACUUGGAAAAGUGUAGCAUAGAAGGUGAAACUCCUGUAAUUAAAAUUCUCAAUAGCUCUAAUGGUAUCCUGAGUAGGUCGGAACACGUGAUAUUUUGACUGAAGCCGGGGGGACCACCCUCCAAUCCUAAAUACUACUUACAGAUCGAUAGUGAACAAGUACCGUGAGGGAAAGGUGAAAAGUACUCCAGCGAGGAGAGUGAAAUAGAACCUGAAACCAUUAGCUUACAAUCAUUCAGAGCCCUAUGAUUUAUCAGGGUGAUGGACUGCCUUUUGCAUAAUGAGCCUGCGAGUUGUGGUAUCUGGCAAGGUUAAGUCAAGUACGAAGCCGUAGCGAAAGCGAGUCUUAAUAGGGCGAAUUAGUCAGAUGCUGCAGACCCGAAACGAAGUGAUCUAUCCAUGAGCAGGUUGAAGCUGGUGUAAGAGCCAGUGGAGGACCGAACCCGCAGGCGUUGAAAAGUCUUGGGAUGACUUGUGGAUAGGGGUGAAAGGCCAAUCAAACUUCGUGAUAGCUGGUUCUCUCCGAAAUAUAUUUAGGUAUAGCCUUGUGUUGUAGCAUAUGGGGGUAGAGCACUGAAUGGGCUAGGGCUGCUUACCGCGGUACCAAACCCUAUCAAACUAUGAAUACUAUAUGUGGAAUCACAGGAGUCAGGCGGUGGGUGAUAAAAUCAAUCGUCGAGAGGGGAACAACCCAGACUAACAGCUAAGGUCCCUAAGUUACAUCUAAGUGGAAAACGAUGUGGAGUUACUGUGACAACCAGGAGGUUGGCUUAGAAGCAGCCAUCCUUUAAAGAAAGCGUAACAGCUCACUGGUCUAGUGAUUCUGCGCGGAAAAUAUAACGGGGCUAAGAUGUACACCGAAGCUUUAGAUUCAAUUUUUAAUUGAGUGGUAGGAGAGCGUUCUAUUCAGCGUAGAAGAUGUACCGGUAAGGAGCGUUGGAGCGGAUAGAAGUGAGCAUGCAGGCAUGAGUAGCGAUAAUUGAGGUGAGAAUCCUCAACGCCGAAAACCCAAGGUUUCCUACGCGAUGCUCGUCAUCGUAGGGUUAGUCGGGACCUAAGUCGAGUCCGAAAGGGGUAGACGAUGGCAAAUUGAUUAAUAUUUCAAUACCAACAUAUAAGCGCGAUGUGGGGACGCAUAGAGUUAAUCGAGGUCACUGAUGGAAUAGUGGCUCGAAGGACGUAGGCUGUUAAGUAGGCAAAUCCGCUUAACAUUAGGCCGAGAUCUUACAGGCUCUUGACACUCUUCGGAGGAGAUGGAGAAUCGAUGAUACUGUCGUGCCAAGAAAAGCCACUAAGUUUAUUAUAUGUUGCCCGUACCGUAAACCGACACAGGUGGGUGGGAUGAGUAUUCUAAGGCGCGUGGAAGAACCCUGGUUAAGGAACUCUGCAAACUAGCACCGUAUCUUCGGUAUAAGGUGUGCCUACUUUUGUAUAUGAACUUGCUUCAAAAAGCGAAAGAGGUUGCAACAAAGAGUCCCUCCCGACUGUUUACCAAAAACACAGCACUUUGCUAACACGUAAGUGGAUGUAUAAGGUGUGACGCCUGCCCGGUGCUCGAAGGUUAACUGAUGAUGUCAGCGCAAGCGAAGCAUUUGAUUGAAGCCCGAGUAAACGGCGGCCGUAACUAUAACGGUCCUAAGGUAGCGAAAUUCCUUGUCGGUUAAAUACCGACCUGCAUGAAUGGCGUAACGAGAUGGGAGCUGUCUCAACCAGGGAUCCAGUGAAAUUGUAGUGGAGGUGAAAAUUCCUCCUACCCGCGGAAAGACGGAAAGACCCCGUGCACCUUUACUACAGCUUGACACUGUAGCUUGGAUAUUCAUGUGCAGGAUAGGUGGGAGGCUAUGAUGACUAGACGCCAGUAGAGUCGGAGCCAUCCUUGAGAUACCACCCUUGAAUAUUUGAGUUACUAACUGCGUACAAUUAUCUUGUAUCAGGACAAUGUCUGGUGGGUAGUUUGACUGGGGCGGUCGCCUCCUAAAAAGUAACGGAGGCUUACAAAGGUUAGU
rnacentral:rRNA from 1 species